AUUACGUUUGUAACCACACCAGGAAUCGGGAGGACUGAUGGAGAAGCCAUACAUCUGGAAGGCAAAUCCUGAGGACCACCAGGACUCUACCAUCAAGGAUUCCUCAUAAUUGUGCAUUAUCUGGACAUAGUGGACUAGACACACCUGAGCUUAACCUCACCUGAUCCUGUUUGGUCGGGGGUAGACACACCUGAGCUAAACCCGCCCUGAUCCUGACAUCCUGCUGGUCCCGUCCCCUCAGUUCAUCUGAGCCUCGUCCUCCAGAAGACCUGCUGAGCUCAGCAGUCUGAGGCUGAUGGAUCAAUGACCUCCAGUGGGAGUGAUCUUCUUGACCCCAAAUGUAACCGUGUGCUUCCACACGCCUUUCCCUCACGUCUGUCACUAACCUCACUACUUCACUACUGCUUCCACUUUUCUUCCUACUCUGUGGUUCAAACCUUUACACUGAAGGCACGUCUUCCUGCCCUCAGAGGGUUUAGCGUUAGGGUUGAGAGUCAGGGUUUAGAGUCAGGGACAGAGCUGGUCAGGGAGGACUGCUUUUACACAAACCUCUUCACUUGCUUUCGGAAUGGUGGUGACAUUUUGAAAGGAUUCAUUUGGGAAAAUGUUUUCCUCUGCUUUCCUUUACAAAUUGUAUUCAAUUUCUGUCAAGUGUUUUUGUUUAUAUAUUAAAAUCCCACAUUGACUUCUA